rnacentral:tRNA from 1 species
GUCUUAGUAGUAUAAGGAUUACUUUGGUCUUGUAAGCCGAAAACGGAGAGCUCCCCCCUCCCUAGGAC